rnacentral:tRNA from 1 species
CAUUGGAUAGCUCAGUGGGUAGAGCGAUGGACUGAUAAUCCAUUUGUCGCGGGUUCGACUCCUGCUCCAAAUUU